CAAGUUUCUUUAAACCACAUGAAAAUUGUAUUCUUCAUUUAAGGAUUUUUAAAGAAGUGUAUGUUAUGUCAUGGAAUUUUCCUUAUAAACAGAUCAAAUGUCACUGCAUAGAAGUCAAUGUAUGGUUUCCUUCCUUCAACUCUGGACUUGUAGUACGAUUAACAAGAGAAAAGGAAAGAUUAUAAAAUGAACACAGUUUGUAUUUCUUCACGAGUAUAACAGAAAGAUAUGACUGACGGUUUGAUUCUAAUGACAGAGGACACCAAGUCCCGAGUUAAAAAAGUAUGGAAAAAAUUCUCAACUAAACAGGAAGACAUGUAUGAACUUGGUAUUGCAAUGUUUCAACAGUUAUUUAAAAAGAAACCUGAAACAAAGGAAUUAUUUUCCUUUGAUGAAAAUAAUCCUGAUAGAUGGAAAAGGGUGAAAAGUCAUAUUAGACUUUUGUUUGAUAUGAUAGGUGAAUCUGUCAGUUCGUUAGACGAUCAAACAUCUAUGACACCUGUUCUUGAAAACUUAGGAAACAGACACUUUCAUUAUGGCGUCAAACAGGAUUUUUACCUGGUGUUUGGUGAAUGUCUUAUACAUGCAGUUGAGGAAGCACUUGGUGAUAGCCUUACUUUGGAAGAUAAGGAAGCAUUUAUGACACUGUACCACUGGAUUGGUGGUUGUAUUGUAAAAGGAAUAGCAAUGGAGUCUUAUAAAUAAAUGUUUUAUACCUUGAAAGAA